rnacentral:lncRNA from 1 species
AUGGACUGUGGUUUCCUCAGUGCGUGCUCCCUGCCCGCCCGCCCUUGCUGCGGGUUGAGCGGGAGGUCGGGACCCACGCGCGCCCCGAGGGCGAACAGCGGCCCUUCGCUGGGACGGAGCGCGCGCCCCGGCCAGGCUGGCGCGUUCAGCACUCGAGGCGUGGACAGCGCCAGCACCGCGCGGGCGCCUGCGGGCUGGGGGCGGGCUGGGGGACAGGGGCGGGGAGAGCGCGAGCCCCUGGCCGCCCCGUCCACACGCGGCGCGCAGACCCGCGCAGGAGGCUCCGCGACCGGCCGCCCCUCGCCCGCUCCCGCCAUGGCCGCAUGCCGGCCGCAGGAGCCCGCGAAGCCUCUGCCCGCGUGCCUGGGGACGCUGGGCACAGGCAGCCCCCGGGCCCGACCCAAGCUCGGGGGCGUCUUCCGCUGCGUGGAGGACGCCUUUGAGAACAAGACGCUGCAGUUGGACGCGCUGGGCGGCGGUCGCCGGGACCCUCGGGCCAGAGAGCCCUACAGUGGGCUCCGCGGCGACCCGGAGCGACCCGGUGAGCCAGACGAAGACGGCCCAGAGGCCGCAGCAAGUCUCCAAGAGCACCCUGGAGCGCCCCAGGCCCGCGGCCCACAGCAGGUAGUGGCCGCAGGGCAGAGGCUGCGGAAUGGCGGGGCCUGUGCGAGGGGGACGCGGGCCCUGGACUCCUCGAGAGACGCCGCACACCCACGCCGGAGGCCGCAGGGCGGUGGGCCAGGGGUUCGUCCUCUUCCUAAACCCCCCAGCUCCUCCGAGGGGCGGGGCGCGAGGGCUCCCAGCGGGGCCUCCUCCUCCCUGACUGGCGAGUCUGGGCCCGGGACUUUUCUUUCCCGCGCGCCCGCCUCAGCCCCGCCCGGCGGUCUGGGCCUCUCCAGCCCUGGUUCUGGGUCCCUGGUCCGUCCCGGGUUCUGGAGAGCUGUCUCUCUGUGUGUCUCUCUUGGUCUCGCUGUCUCUUUCUCUCUUUGUCUGCCAACUUGUCCCCUCCCUCCUGCCCCUAAGCUUCGCGAGCUGACCGUGCUUGGAGCAGCCUUGCGAGGAGGUGCCUCCACCGCCCAAUCCCAGGGUCAGUGGACGGACCGGUGCUCCCGGCCCGGCCCUGGCCAUCCGCUAAGGAGCCCGGCUUUGGCCAGAGACACCUUCUCACACAGCGUCCAGCUCCUGGAGUGCCUGGAACUGGAUUUGAGAUUGGGUUCAAUCCCCGUUGCCUUGGAUUCUCGGGUCACCGGGAAGCGGGCCCUCGGCUGGGCAGGGGCGAAGGCGGAGCCUGGCAGGACAUUGCUGGAUCUCUCCCACCCUCGUUCCUGA